AUAAACUUUAGUCCUUUCGCACCUGAAUCAUCACUUAUUAGUGGGUUAACAUUUUCAUGUUACAACGUUUAUCAUAUUUGUUUGAAUCUUUUCCUAAAUCUUCUUACCUUGUGCUACAAAAAUUCUUAAGCAUAAAUAUAUUAGUAAAAGUAUGAGAGUCCCCUAGAAAUAGGAUUGUAACUCAUCCUUGAAUAUAUAAUUUGUUAGUUGUAAACCAAAUCUAUAAAGAACAAGAAACCCUUAGAUGUAGAUGUAUCAAAUAAGAUAUCUUGCAUAUUAAGAAAGUGAGCGAAGAAAAUACAAAGAGAAAUCUAAAGUCAAAUGAAUUGCCCAGAAGUUCAUUAUAGCCAUGCUCACAAAUAUAUCUGGACUUUCCAUCAAAAUCAUGUCAUUUAUUAACAGAGCCAGUCUUGAAAAUUUUAAUGGCCACAUCUAGGGAUGGCAGUGGAUCCUGGACCCGGUCCAGAUCCGUGGAUCCAGAUCCGAUUUGACGGAUCUGGAUCUCAAUUUUUUGGAUCCGCGGAUCUGGAUCCGGAUCUGGAUCGCAUUUUCUAAAACGGAUCUGGAUCUGGAUCUUGACAUUUGAGAUCCGGAUCCGGUCCAGAUCCGACCCGUGGAUCCGAUUUAAUUAAAAAUAUGGAGUAUUAUUAUUUUUAUAUUAUUUUAUUAAUAAUAUUAGAUAUAUUAAAAUAAAAAAAUAUAGAAUAACUUUGAAACCUAAUUCAUCUCUUUCUCCCUCUCGGUCUUCUCACUCUCACUCCCCCGCCGCACCUCCAUCUGCCAUCCCUAGACUCUCCCAUCUCCCAUCUCCCUCAGUCGGCGUCGUGCCUCACCUCCAUCGCCGGUCGUCUUCUCCGAUUCACCCGCCCGCCGCUGGAGUCACGCUCGCCGCUCGAUCUCUGCUUCGCUCGCCCUCCCUGCUUCGCUCGCCGUCCCUGCCUCGCUCCCUGCUUCUCUCCCUCCAUCGCCCGCCGCUGGAGUCACGCCGCGCUCGCUCAGAAAUCCGGGUCAUGGAUUCCCGCUCGAAUCCCCCAUUUGCCGGAUCUCCGAAUCAAGAUCAGAUUUUGGGAGAUUUCUGGUGCACCCAUUUUCAAGAUUUCCCAUAAGGCCAUUGCAAGCAUUGGAAAUCCGUCGACCUUUUACCUUUGGGUGUUAAUAUCUGGGAUAUUCUAUCACCUCUAUAACCAGUCCUCGUAUGAAGCCCUCGAUGACAUUAGCCCCCUCACCUUCUCUGUUGGGAAUACCAUGAAGAGAGUGGUCGUCAUCAUAGCUAGUGUCUUGGUUUUCAGGAACCCCGUCCGACCACUCAAUGCACUUGGAUCUGCCAUUGCCAUUUUUGGGACCUUCUUGUAUUCGCAGGCAACAGCCAAGAAGCCAAAGAUUGAAGGAGCUGAGAAGAAGGACUAGAAUUGAAGGUGGUUGGUGCUUUACAUUUUAUGUUGGUUUAGAAGUUGGACUCUUUUGCUUGUCUUCAUAUUCUUGCUUGUUAGGAAGUUUUGACUGCACAAUGCUUUUUAUAUCAAUUCUACUGUUAUCAGUGAAGUGGUGAAUGAUCUGGGAUGAUGAUGGUUAACAGCUUUCUAUUAUUCAAGAAAAUACAUUCAAGUUAUAAAUGUAUUCCUUGUUGUAACUGGAAAUACAUUUGAUUCUUGCAUUUCCAGAUGGUGACUGUCUUUUAUUUUUUUCCAUUCCUUGUGUCUAAAGAUUUCUCGGUUGUGCUUCGCCUAGUCGCCUGCAGAGCUUAGACACACAAGAAAAUGUUUGAUGGGUGCCUCUUUAGGCUAGUGAGACUUUAAACAUUUUGUUUGUCGGUUUUGAGCUUAUGGAAUUAGCAUGAUCACAAAUGAAAUAGCUUGUUACACUUCAAAGGGUAAAUAGCAUUGAGAUUUAUUUAUUUUGAUAUUUUGAUGACUUGAUUUUCAUGAUGGAUAUUAAAUAUUGUUGAUUUUGUACAAUAUUUUUCAUGAUGGAUAUUAAAUGUUGUUGAUUUUGUGAAUUUAUUUGUGAAUUUAAUUUGAAAACACUAGAUCCAUGGAUCUGGACCCGCGGAUCCGCGGAUCUGACGGAUCUGGAUCUGGAUCCAAAAUUUUCAGAUCCGCGGAUCUGGAUCCGGAUCUGGAUCUGGUAUAUGAAAACGGAUCUGGAUCUGGUAUUGGACAGACCCGGUCCAGAUCCGACCCGUUGCCAUCCCUAGCCACAUCUUAACUACGAAAUAAACCUUUGUAGAUGUCUCCAUUUGACCCUAAAGCAAUCUUGAAUUCAAACUCCAACAAAUUGGCAUCAAUUUCCCAGACAUCAUUCCCAUCAAUAGGAAUUUCCGCAUAGGAUGAUGCUAUAUUAAAUCCACUCUGCUUCAGUCCAAUAGUAGGAAAUUCUAGCUUUCGUUUAACUGACUGUUUCUCAAUGUAUGGAAUUAGUUUCACUAGUGUGGCUCUGUGACAAUCAAUGCCCCUUUCCCAACCAUCCACAACAAAGACAUCAAGUGAAUAUCCAUCAAUUCUGCAAAAAGCAUGAACCUCUUGGAUGUUCAAGCCAAUCUCAGAUACAUGGCAUGUUAACCGAAAAUUUAAGUAGAUGGAGUUGUUUUAUUAUCAAUAAAUCAUUUGGAACUGCAUAUAACAGGAAAAACUGAUUUUGAUAGACAUACUAACUUGAAAAUGGUCAGACUUAAGCACAAUAACUUAUGAAAGGAUAUUAAAAAUUUAGAUAUAAACACGUAGUGUGUUCUCCAUGGAUGAGAUAAGCCAACGUAUUCUCCAAUAUAAGGAAAAAGUAGCAGUUGGGGUUUAGAGCAAACAUUUAUUAAAGUAGGCUGACAAACGGACAAAAGAUACUACCAACUGAAUAAUGCAAUAUUAAGACACCCCUCAUUAUCUGUAGUCAUAUAGAUGAAAAGUGAUUUAGUUGCUCUUGUCUUAUUGUUUAAACCUUAUUCCCCAAAGUUCAUUUACAGGAUACAUGCUUACACACGAGAGUAAAUACAACAAAUAUAUUUUAUAUAA
rnacentral:lncRNA from 1 species